rnacentral:rRNA from 1 species
UACGUAGGUGGCAAGCGUUGUCCGGAAUUAUUGGGCGUAAAGCGCGCGCAGGUGGUUUCUUAAGUCUGAUGUGAAAGCCUACGGCUCAACCGUGGAGGGUCAUUGGAAACUGGGGAACUUGAGUGCAGAAGAGGAAAGUGGAAUUCCAAGUGUAGCGGUGAAAUGCGUAGAGAUUUGGAGGAACACCGGUGGCGAAGGCGGCAUCCUGGACCGGCAUUGACGCUGACGACGCGAAAGCGUGGGGAGCGAACAGG